rnacentral:rRNA from 1 species
UACGGAGGGUGCGAGCGUUGUCCGGGAUCACUGGGCGUAAAGGGCGCGUAGGCGGCUUCUCAAGCGUGUGGUGAAAGUCCGGGGCUCAACCCCGGAUCGGCCGUGCGGACUGGGGAGCUCGAGUUCUGUAGAGGCGGGUGGAAUUCCGGGUGUAGCGGUGGAAUGCGUAGAGAUCCGGAAGAACACCGGUGGCGAAGGCGGCCCGCUGGGCAGAGACUGACGCUGAGGCGCGACAGCGUGGGGAGCAAACAGG